AACGAACGCUGGCGGCAGGCCUAACACAUGCAAGUCGAACGGUUGUAGCAAUACAGCAGUGGCGCACGGGUGAGUAACACGUGGGAACGUGCCUUUCAGUCUGGAAUAACAGCGGGAAACUGCUGCUAAUACCGGAUAUUCUCUACGGAGGAAAGAUUUAUCGCUGAAAGAUCGGCCCGCGUUAGAUUAGGUAGUUGGUAGGGUAAUGGCCUACCAAGCCUACGAUCUAUAGCUGGUCUGAGAGGAUGAUCAGCCACACUGGAACUGAGACACGGUCCAGACUCCUACGGGAGGCAGCAGUGGGGAAUAUUGGACAAUGGGGGAAACCCUGAUCCAGCCAUGCCGCGUGAGUGACGAAGGCCUUAGGGUUGUAAAGCUCUUUUAUCAGGGACGAUGAUGACGGUACCUGAAGAAUAAGACACGGCUAACUUCGUGCCAGCCGCCGCGGUAA
rnacentral:rRNA from 1 species